AUGCAGACAUUCAAAUGGCAAGACUACAUUUUCUGGAUGAAAAAGGAGAACGCAGCGAAAGCUAGCGCAUACACACUGAAGGCGAGCAUCAACGCAGCCAGCAGUGAAGCGCAGAAAUCGCCGCCAAGCAAAUGGAAGACGUUCUUCUCAAGGUCGAAAACACGGGCCGAGGAGCUGGUCGUGAAGAAUAACAUAUAUGACGUUGGCUGGAUCAGGAACCUGUGUGAGGUGAUGGUACCUUUAUCAGAGCGGAGGUCGUUCUCUUGCAAGAAGUCCGAAUGA
rnacentral:rRNA from 1 species